UACGUAGGGGGCUAGCGUUGUCCGGAAUCAUUGGGCGUAAAGAGCGUGUAGGCGGCCCGGUAAGUCCGCUGUGAAAGUCGGGGGCUCAACCCUCGAAUGCCGGUGGAUACUGUCGGGCUAGAGUGCGGAAGAGGCGAGUGGAAUUCCUGGUGUAGCGGUGAAAUGCGCAGAUAUCGGGGGAAGAACCACCAUGAGCAGAGCAGCUCGCUGGGACGGUACUGACGCUGAGGCGCGAAAGCGUGGGGAGCGAACAGG
rnacentral:rRNA from 1 species